GACGAACGCUGGCGGCGUGCUUAACACAUGCAAGUCGAACGGUAAGGCCCUUCGGGGUACACGAGUGGCGAACGGGUGAGUAACACGUGGGUGAUCUGCCCUGCACUUCGGGAUAAGCCUGGGAAACUGGGUCUAAUACCGGAUAGGAAUCCUGGCUACAUGGUUGGGGGGGGAGAGCUUUUGCGGUGUGGGAUGGGCCCGCGGCCUGUCAGCUUGUUGGUGGGGUAAUGGCCUACCUAGGCGACGACGGGUAGCCGGCCUGAGAGGGUGGCCGGACACACUGGGACUGAGAUACGGCCCAGACUCCUCCGUGAGGCAUCAGUGGUGAAUAUUGCACAAUGGGCGCAAGCCUGAUGCAGCGACGCCGCGUGAGGGAUGACGGCCUUCGGGUUGUAAACCUCUUUCAGCUAUGACGAAGCGCAAGUGACGGUAGUAGCAGAAGAAGGACCGGCCAACUACGUGCCAGCAGCCGCAGUAACAC
rnacentral:rRNA from 1 species